AUGAUAUUCAGUUUGUUUGAUAUUUUCCUCAUGUUUUGGCUCCUACGCUGAGCAGGAAGAUGGCGGCGUGAAACCUUUAGUAGGUUAUUUUCUCUUUCUUUCUGUAAUGCUUCUAGUAUGCCUGGUUGUGUUUUGUCUCUUUUGGGGAGGGCAGGGGUCUGGCAGUGUGCUGUAAACCCGAGCUGCAGAUGGUUCUGGAGAGGAGGAAGAAGGAGCAGACCCAGAGAGAGGAGGGGGAACAGUGCAGAAGCCCGCUGGAGCAGGUCCUCCUCCAACGCCAACAGAAGCAGCAGGAGGUGAUGAGGGAAAAGGAACAGGAAGAGAAGAUACAGCAUGAGAUACAGCUUCUGGAGUUUGUCAGAGUGAGACAGAAUUUGAAAAAAGUGCAUUCAGCGCUACACAAGAACACCAACUCCUGAAUAUCAGCCACAUCAAAGGCAGUCUGUGGCAGGACACAGAAAUCUGCUGUAGCCCCCAAAACCACUCGGAAUAACCUUGAACAGGACCGAAUGGGAGUUUUGCAUUUUGAAUACCACUGUAGCUGAAAACCUUGUGUUUGUGUUUGUCCCUCUGUGUCGAGAUGUAUUUUUUCAAAAUCCUAAUGCAGCAACCUAAUGUAGCUCUAGCUUAGAACUCCUAGGUUUUAGAGCAACGCAUAUGAUUUGUUUAAAGGAAAAAUCCACCUUGAAGAGUUGCAUUUUAAUCUUUACACUUGACACGUGAUCUUCAGUGUCAUCCAAGAUUUAUUUUGUAAUGGAAUUCUGAUUUGACUUUUUUUUAGUUUCAACUUUUUUCAUUGACACGUUGGUCUUCUUCCAAUUUGGUUAACGUUUUUCCUACAUUACCUACAGUGAUGUCUGAAUACCUGUUGAUGGUGGUGUCAGUGUGCUGCAUUCGACUAAGGGGAAAUUCACAGGUUGGAAUGAUGCCAUUUUCACUCUAGGUGCCUUUUGACAUACAAAGUGGAAAAAUUACAUGGGUGCCUGCAUGUUCGUAAACUGCCCUGCUGAAAAAAACUAUCGAAACAUCAAAGAAAUUCUAAUGGUUUCCACUACACAUACCAUUACAAACCAUCAACUGUUAACCAUUAAAACCAUUACCAUAAUUGAUCCUUAAUGGUAUCCAUUAGACAUAUAAUGCCACCAAUAGAAGGCAACAAAUUACCAGUAGAGACCCACAGGGACCAUUACAGUUUCCAUUAAAACCAUUACAAAUUCUAUGAGAGUUUCUUUUUUUUUUCAGUAGGUUGGGAAGGAACUGCAAGUUGUGAAGACUACCCCAGGUUGACGAGUAGGAAUUUCAAGUUAAGGGGGUGUUUUCUUUUGCUUUUCCUGGUUGGAGGUCGGGAAUUACACGCUGCAACAGCAAGAGGUGAAGUUGCGACUUGUAAUUCCCUACCUACAGCUGAUAAAAACUGUUUGUUGUUGGUGUGCUGCAAUUUCAGUCCAAAAGGUUGCAUGAAUUUUGAUGUUCACUAUAGUAGAACAGUACCAAUAGCCACUCAGGCCGAUAACUGUAAAAAUGCGGUUAAAGUAGCAUUGGAUGAGCUCGAACGUACGUGCUCGAACAGAGCAAAUAAAAGACAUGCUUUCG